GACGAACGCUGGCGGCGUGGAUUAGGCAUGCAAGUCGAACGGUAACGGGCCUUCGGGCGCCGACGAGUGGCGAACGGGUGAGUAAUGCAUCGGAACGUACCUUUCAGUGGGGGAUAACGUAGCGAAAGUUACGCUAAUACCGCAUAUUCUGUGAGCAGGAAAGCAGGGGAUCGCAAGACCUUGCGCUGAUUGAGCGGCCGAUGUCAGAUUAGCUAGUUGGUGAGGUAAAGGCUCACCAAGGCGACGACGGGUAGCCGGCCUGAGAGGGUGACCGGCCACACUGGAACUGAGACACGGUCCAGACUCCUACGGGAGGCAGCAGUGGGGAAUUUUGGGCAAUGGGGGAGACCCUGACCCAGCGACGCCGCGUGAGGGAAGGCGGCCUUCGGGUUGUAAACCUCUUUUGUACGGGAAGAUAAUGACGGUACUGUACGAAUAAGUCCCGGCUAACUACGUG
rnacentral:rRNA from 1 species